GAUGAACGCUGGCGGCGUGCCUAAUACAUGCAAGUCGAGCGAACGGACGAGAAGCUUGCUUCUCUGAUGUUAGCGGCGGACGGGUGAGUAACACGUGGAUAACCUACCUAUAAGACUGGGAUAACUUCGGGAAACCGGAGCUAAUACCGGAUAAUAUUUUGAACCGCAUGGUUCAAGAGUGAAAGACGGUCUUGCUGUCACUUAUAGAUGGAUCCGCGCUGCAUUAGCUAGUUGGUAAGGCAACGGCUUACCAAGGCAACGAUGCAUAGCCGACCUGAGAGGGUGAUCGGCCACACUGGAACUGAGACACGGUCCAGACUCCUACGGGAGGCAGCAGUAGGGAAUCUUCCGCAAUGGGCGAAAGCCUGACGGAGCAACGCCGCGUGAGUGAUGAAGGUCUUCGGAUCGUAAAACUCUGUUAUUAGGGAAGAACAUAUGUGUAAGUAACUGUGCACAUCUUGACGGUACCUAAUCAGAAAGCCACGGCUAACUACGUG
rnacentral:rRNA from 1 species